rnacentral:rRNA from 1 species
CCGUCUAUAUACGUAUAGCAUAUCAAUAAGCGGAGGAAAAGAAACUAACUAGGAUUCCCUCAGUAACGGCGAGUGAAGCGGGAAGAGCUCAAAUUUGAAAUCUUCAAGGUUCUACCUUGACGAAUUGUAGUUUAUAGAAGUGUUUUCUGUUAGUGGAGUGGCAAAAGUUCUUUGGAAUAGGACAUCAUAGAGGGUGAGAAUCCCGUAUUUGGUCAUUCCUUCUAGCGUUGUGAUACACUUUCAACGAGUCGGAUUGUUUGGGAAUGCAGUCCAAAAUGGGUGGUAAAUUUCAUCUAAAGCUAAAUAUUGGCGAGAGACCGAUAGCGAACAAGUACCGUGAGGGAAAGAUGAAAAGAACUUUGAAAAGAGAGUUAAACAGUACGUGAAAUUGUCAAAAGGGAAGCGUUUGACACCAGUGUUGUUUUUCCGAAAAUCAAUUACGAAUGUUUUAUUUUUGAGGAGUUAUGACUUCAUCGGCUUGCUCCUUUCUUUAUGAAACUUUCUUAAUGCACUUUUCGGUUAACAAGUCAACAUCAAUUUCUUUUGUUGUAAAAGAGUAUUAGGAAGGUGGCUUUCUUUUCGGAGAAAGUGUUUAUAGCCCUUAUGCCUCUACAAUCGAAGAGAUUGAGGUCUGCAGCGUAGAUCCUUCGGGGUUAGAUACACUUUGUGCUAAGUUAGUAGCUUUUCAUAGACAACUUGUUGACUAUGUUUAGUCAUUGUAGGCUUACUCGCUUAGUGCUAUUUUACCUACGCUUAGGAUGUUGACUGAUAUGUAGUCGUA